GCUGUUAAGGGUUCGUAGUUGAAUUGGGGGCUGUUUCGAGUAAGCGUUACCUGGGCCUUCUGUCCUUCGGGAGAUUGUCCCUUUCGCUCUCGCAGCCUGAGAACAUUUGAUACAAACUUCCGGAAACGUUAUCCUUCCACAAAAUUUCGCAUGCCAUGCAUGCAGGGGGACGUCCGUGUUUCUUUCUGUGACAAAAGAAGGGUGACCAAAGCAGUCAUUCGACAUGAAUUAGAAAGCUGGGAUAACAAAGGAGCGGCCUACGGGCUUCCAGUUUGGCUUUUGUUGGUUUUAAAGGUCUGUGGGGAUUGUGGAUGCGCAAGCCCGGCGGUUUACGGUGUCUCACUUCGCGUGUGCCACCGUCCGUCUUCUGUUUCAAGGUUCGUCCUGUUGCAGACUUGUUUUUUGCGUCCAGGAUGAAGGAGGGUUGUUCGGGGGAGAACGUACUUGAGCGUGAGAGGUGAAAUUCUUAGACCGCUCAAGACGAACUACAGCGAAGGCAUUCUCCAAGGAUACCUUCAUCAAUCAAGAACCAAGUG
rnacentral:rRNA from 1 species